CCUACGGGUGGCUGCAGUGGGGAAUAUUGGACAAUGGGGGGAACCCUGAUCCAGCCAUGCCGCGUGUGUGAAGAAGGCCCUCGGGUUGUAAAGCACUUUCAGUGAGGAAGAACGCCUGGUGGUUAAUACCCAUCAGGAAAGACAUCACUCACAGAAGAAGCACCGGCUAACUCCGUGCCAGCAGCCGCGGUAAUACGGAGGGUGCGAGCGUUAAUCGGAAUUACUGGGCGUAAAGCGCGCGUAGGUGGCUUGAUAAGCCGGUUGUGAAAGCCCCGGGCUCAACCUGGGAACGGCAUCCGGAACUGUCAAGCUAAAGUGCAGGAGAGGAAGGUAGAAUUCCCGGUGUAGCGGUGAAAUGCGUAGAGAUCGGGAGGAAUACCAGUGGCGAAGGCGGCCUUCUGGACUGACACUGACACUGAGGUGCGAAAGCGUGGGUAGCAAACAGGAUUAGAUACCCGUGUAGUC
rnacentral:rRNA from 1 species